GUCCUGCUCAGGAACCGAGCCCUCUGAGCCUUUGAAAAUAGCUGAUCAUAAGUACGGGUGCUUCAGGUUACAGCUCUUCUCUCCAGCGAUUUCUGGAGGCUGAAAGUCAGACAAGACUCCAGCUGUGCAGAUGUCUCACCAUCUCCCCAUGGUUUUGGGGCAGCUGUGGCAGGUGCUGUUCCAGAACAGUCUCAGGAGUUGUCCAGGGUCAGCAGCAGCUGAGUCAGCUCUCAGUAGCUGGAGAUUGUGAUGAUUUGCUCAUUGGAACACCAAAAGGGACAGAUGAUUUUUGGAGCACAUUAUAUCCAUGUUAAUGAAAAUUUGCUUGAAUUCCCCAGAAGAUUUGCAUUGAUUUUUGGGUUGGAGAGAGGCAGGGAAAGCAACAGCAUCAACAAGGAG